UGGGGAAUUUUGGACAAUGGGGGCAACCCUGAUCCAGCAAUGCCGCGUGUGUGAAGAAGGCCUUCGGGUUGUAAAGCACUUUUGUCCGGAAAGAAACGCCGUGGUUAAUACCCGUGGCGGAUGACGGUACCGGAAGAAUAAGCACCGGCUAACUACGUGCCAGCAGCCGCGGUAAUACGUAGGGUGCAAGCGUUAAUCGGAAUUACUGGGCGUAAAGCGUGCGCAGGCGGUCCGCUAAGACAGAUGUGAAAUCCCCGGGCUUAACCUGGGAACUGCAUUUGUGACUGGCGGGCUAGAGUAUGGCAGAGGGGGGUAGAAUUCCACGUGUAGCAGUGAAAUGCGUAGAGAUGUGGAGGAAUACCGAUGGCGAAGGCAGCCCCCUGGGCCAAUACUGACGCUCAUGCACGAAAGCGUGGGGAGCAAACAGGAUU
rnacentral:rRNA from 1 species